rnacentral:rRNA from 1 species
CAAUAGCGUAUAUUUAAGUUGUUGCAGUUAAAAAGCUCGUAGUUGGAUUUCGGAUGGGAUUUGCCGGUCCGUCGUUACGAUGUGCACUGGCCAGUCCUAUCUUGUUGUCGGGGACUAGCUCCUUGGAUUCACUUCCUGGGACUAGGAGCUGACGAGGUUACUUUGAGUAAAUUAGAGUGUUCAAAGCAAGCCUACGCUCUGAAUACAUUAGCAUGGAAUAACAUGAUAGGACUCUGGCUUAUCUUGUUGGUCUGUGAGACCAGAGUAAUGAUUAAGAGGGACAGUCGGGGACAUUCGUAUUUCAUUGUCAGAGGUGAAAUUCUUGGAUUUAUGAAAGACGAACUUCUGCGAAAGCAUUUGUCAAGGAUGUUUUCAUUAA